UAACGCGUGGGUAACCUGCCCUAUACACAUGGAUAACAUACUGAAAAGUUUACUAAUACAUGNUAAUAUAUAUUUACGGCAUCGUAGAUAUAUCAAAGUGUUAGCGGUAUAGGAUGGACCCGCGUCUGAUUAGCUAGUUGGUGAGAUAACUGCCCACCAAGGCGACGAUCAGUAGCCGACCUGAGAGGGUGAUCGGCCACAUUGGAACUGAGACACGGUCCAAACUCCUACGGGAGGCAGCAGCG
rnacentral:rRNA from 1 species